CGGUGUUCAACUGGCGUGCCCGCGGGACGUCCUGCCGGUGAGCUCAGCCUGCGAGGGCGGCUCAACUUGAAAUCCCAUCGCGGUGCUCUUCAUUGAGUGUCGAGGUGGGCCGGCACGAUUACUUUUGAACAAAUUAGAGUGCUUAAAGCAGGCUAAAAUUUUGCCUGAAUACUGUGUAUAUGGAAUAAUGGAAUAGGACCUCGGUUCUAUUUUGUUGGUUUUCGGAACCCCGAGGUAAUGAUUAAUAGGAACGGAUGGGGGCAUUCGUAUUGCGACGUUAGAGGUGAAAUUCUUGGAUCGUCGCAAGACGGACUAAAGCGAAAGCAUUUGCCAAAAACGCUUUCAUUGAUCAAGAACGAAAGUUAGAGGUUCGAAGGCGAUCAGAUACCGCCCUAGUUCUAACCAUAAACUAUGCCAGCUAGCGAUCCGCCGACGUCCCUCUGAUGACUCGGCGGGCAGCUUCCGGGAAACCAAAGCUUUUGGGUUCCGGGGGAAGUAUGGUUGCAAAGCUGAAACUUAAAGGAAUUGACGGAAGGGCACCACCAGGAGUGGAGCCUGCGGCUUAAUUUGACUCAACACGGGAAACCUCACCAGGCCCAGACACUGGAAGGAUUGACAGAUUGAGAGCUCUUUCUUGAUUCAGUGGGUGGUGGUGCAUGGCCGUUCUUAGUCGGUGGAGCGAUUUGUCAGGUUAAUUCCGAUAACGGACGAGACUCUGACCUGAUAACUAGACGCACUUGCGGCAUCUCAAAGGUCCGCCGGCGGCUGGCUUUGCGCCCGUCGUCGCGCGCGAUUUUUACUGCCGGCGUACAAUAAAUUCUUCUUAGAGGGACAAGUGG
rnacentral:rRNA from 1 species